CUUGCCUGAUCCAGUCUGGGCUGGAUUUCCAUGUCACUUGUGAAUGACCAUGCUGUCUCUUAUUCAGCAGAGAAGAUAAAAUCCCAAAAAGCUGGCUAGGCUCUACUGAAGAAAGAAGCUUGGGGUGAUGGAAGUUAUUCUGGAUUAGUGUCUGCCUGUAACAUCUGAACAGGAUGGAAAGGGGUCAAUCGGGAAGCCUCUAACGAGGGCCUGACCAACUGUGGAGGAUGGAGAACCAUUUCCACUGUCUUGAAGUAUGUUUUCAGAAGUGGGAACCAUAUGUGAAUCCCCCACAGGAAGAAGGACGGAUGAGCGUGUUUGCACACUGUCUCCACCAGGGGAAGACUGGUCAUCUCAGCGGUGCUCUUCUGCCAGCUGAUCGAUUCUUCUAUGCCCCUCCAUUUGUCCUUCCCUAAAUGAUUUAGAAAGUCUCAGCCCACCUUUCUUCCAUUCCAUUGCUUUAAACAAGCUGUUUUUCUGUCAGAGACUGUCCUCUGGAUGGAGCCAGAUUGACAGGACUUCUGUCAUUGAAAAAAUAUUGCCGAGUGGACCUUUCUAGGUUGACACAUACCCAACAGCCUUUCUUUCCUGUGGUUUGUGUUAUUAAAGUGAUUUGACAUGCCUCAC